GUGGGCGAGUGGUAAGGACACUUGUCUCUCGCCCUAGAGUCCCGGGUUCGAUCCCCGGUCA
rnacentral:tRNA from 1 species